rnacentral:rRNA from 1 species
UACAGAGGUCCCGAGCGUUGUUCGGAUUUAUUGGGCGUAAAGGGUGCGUAGGCGGCGGAGUAAGUUGGGUGUGAAAUCCCGGGGCUUAACCUCGGAAUGGCAUUCAAUACUGCUUCGCUCGAGUACUGGAGAGGAGGCUGGAAUUUACGGUGUAGCAGUGAAAUGCGUAGAUAUCGUGAGGAAGGCCGGUGGCGAAGGCGAGCCGCUGGACAGUUACUGACGCUGAGGCGCGAAGGCCAGGGGAGCAAACGGG